rnacentral:rRNA from 1 species
UACGUAGGGGGCAAGCGUUGUCCGGAAUCAUUGGGCGUAAAGCGCGCGUAGGCGGCCCGGUAAGUCUGGUGUGAAAACUUGAGGCUCAACCUCAAGCUGUCAUCGGAUACUGUCGGGCUUGAGUCUGGAAGAGGAGAGUGGAAUUCCUGGUGUAGCGGUGGAAUGCGCAGAUAUCAGGAGGAACACCUAUGGCGAAGGCAGCUCUCUGGUACAUGACUGACGCUGAGACGCGAAAGCGUGGGUAGCAAACAGG